rnacentral:tRNA from 1 species
GCGCUGGUAGUAUAAUGGUAGUAUUUCUGCCUUCCAAGCAGAUGGCCCGGGUUCGAAUCCCGGCCGGCGCA